GGUGCUUCACAGGGAUGGAACAGACUCGAAGUACUGCAAAGUUGUUAACUUGUUGAAUGCCUUGAACACGCUGUUCGACGCCAUCAUUUCCAACUAUGACGUCUAAAAGGGGGUCUACAAUUCACGAUCGCCAGCAAACCUUCAUGUGGGCUUGAUUAUCUUCUGUUGUUGGUUGAGCCAAUGUCAUGACGGUGGUGCAGGGGGAAGUCAACCAACUCUCCCAAUGCAAGUAGUUAACAAUGAAAUGUCAGUGUUUGCCUCACUGGAAACAAAUGUUGCAACCUGAUGGCUGAUGCCCUUUCUGCGAUAGUGUGUGUGGGUGUGUGUGGGUGUGUGUGUAUAAAGUCUAUGGACAUGAAUGAGAGUCAAGCAAAAUUGCUGAGUUAUUUUUCCUAACACAAUUGGGAAUGUUUCUCAGUGCAUGCAGUCCCAG